UAAUACAGAGGUGGCAAGCGUUGUUCGGAAUUACUGGGCGUAAAGGGCGCGUAGGCGGCCAUCUAAGUCAGACGUGAAAUCCCCAGGCUCAACCUGGGAACUGCGUCUGAUACUGGACGGCUAGAGUUUGGGAGAGGGAUGUAGAAUUCCAGGUGUAGCGGUGAAAUGCGUAGAUAUCUGGAGGAAUACCGGUGGCGAAGGCGGCAUCCUGGACCAAUACUGACGCUGAGGCGCGAAAGCUAGGGGAGCAAACGGG
rnacentral:rRNA from 1 species